rnacentral:rRNA from 1 species
CAGCCGCCGCGGUAAUACGAAGGGUGCAAGCGUUAAUCGGAAUUACUGGGCGUAAAGCGUGCGUAGGCGGUUUGUUAAGUCUGUUGUGAAAUCCCCGGGCUCAACCUGGGAAUGGCAAUGGAUACUGGCAAGCUAGAGUGUGUCAGAGGAUGGUGGAAUUCCCGGUGUAGCGGUGAAAUGCGUAGAGAUCGGGAGGAACAUCAGUGGCGAAGGCGGCCAUCUGGGACAACACUGACGCUGAGGCACGAAAGCGUGGGGAGCAAACAGGAUUAGAUACCCGUGUAGUCCCUGUCUCUUAUAU